GCACAGAAACCGAGAGUGGUUUAGCUGUGGGUACGUUAAGUAAACAGACAGGACGUACAUGAGCCACACAGUCUCGCUGACAAGAUUCCCCCCAGGAAAGUAUAUCUAAACAACCCCAAUCAAGAACAGGGUUGUGUUUAACUAACCAGGGAAAACCUAGAACGAUGGAGGCUGUUGGGGAGUUAAUUAUUUGGAAGGUUAACUUCUCUUUGUGCAAAACACCCACAGACAUAACUAUUUCCUGGGUUUCAUGGGUUACCAGAGGUUUCUCCAGUGGUCUACCAUCUAUGGCCUCAACGGCCAAGGGUGUCUCCUUUCGAAUCAAAUUCAG